GCAACCCUUGUCCUUAGUUACCAGCACGUUAUGGUGGGCACUCUAAGGAGACUGCCGGUGACAACCGGAGGAAGGUGGGGAUGACGUCAAGUCAUCAUGGCCCUUACGGCCUGGGCUACACACGUGCUACAAUGGUCGGUACAAAGGGUUGCCAAGCCGCGAGGUGGAGCUAAUCCCAUAAAACCGAUCGUAGUCCGGAUCGCAGUCUGCAACUCGACUGCGUGAAGUCGGAAUCGCUAGUAAUCGUGAAUCAGAAUGUCACGGUGAAUACGUUCCCGGGCCUU
rnacentral:rRNA from 1 species